GGUCGAUGAUGUGUUGGCAUGUAUUAUCUGAAUUCUGCUGAUGUGUAAUCACACUUUAGCUCUAGAAUUACGCUGAGACCUU